rnacentral:misc_RNA from 1 species
UUUCUUUAAUAGAAUUACACCAGAAAAAGAUUAUAUUUAAAAUAAUGCUUGUUUAAAGUUGAAUAUGGCGAUUAUUUAAAAUAUACUACAAAUUUAACUAAUUGAAAGGAAUGUAUUUAGAAUUCGAAAGUUAUUCUCGCGUUAUGAUUAGAUAAAUGAAACAAUCGACUGAGGUCAUAUGUAAGAUAUAUACAUAUGUAUAUACUAUGACUGUGACUAAUAUAAACAACCAUACAAAGAGGUUUAGUUCAACAACACAGAAGAUAAAAGCACCUCAACAUUUAUUAAGACUACGAGACGAUGAAUCUUAUGAACAUGAGUUACGUGGAACACCAUUACCAGACUUACAAAGAAAAGAAUUUUCUAAGAGAAUUACUAGUCCAACAAGUUCGGAUCGAGCUAGUAUCUCAACGUCUAUGUCAUGGCCUGAGGAAAUGGAAAAUGUUGCAACUGAGAAAUUACUUCAACAAUGGGAUGCAAUUGAAAGGGUUCUUUAUAAUGAAACUGAUAAUUUGUCCAAUAAUGAAGUUUUUGAAGAAUGUAUGCAAUGGAAAAUACAAAUACCACAUCUGAGAGUUAUUGGAAAAGGAUUACUUGAUGAAAAUAUUAGUAAAUCUGCAGAUUGUAGCACAGAUAAUAGAGAAGUACAUAAACCGUUCGAUUAUAGUGAUAGUCUAAAACUAUCUAUUGAUCAGGCAGCAAAGAAUACCAAUGAAUCUUUAAAAAAUCAGCAAUAUAAACAAUCAAAAGAAGAAGUAUUUAAUAUUAUCUCGGAAUACAUAAAUUCUCAAUUAUUUCCAAAUAAAAACGAUGAUAUGGACACAUUAGAUAGUAAACUAGAUAAAGUAUUAAAAAUUACUCCUGCAUCUAUGUGUAGGAAUAGAACAUUUACAAAAAGUUCUAAAUCUACUAGAUCGGGUGAUCAAAUUUUGUAUCGUGAAGAUUUUGAAGAUGAUUCUUCGGAUUUCUAUAAUGUGAAACAACAUGAUCUGAGUAGUUUGGACAAAUCAAAAUCUGAAACUAUUACAAGGAGUAAACGUUUCCCUCAAAGGAGAAAAAAACAUUCCAUUUCUGCGAGUAAAAUAAAAGGUUUACAAAAAGUGGAAAAUGAUGUAAAUGAUGAAAGGGAAAGACUAUAUACUCCACAACAAAACAGAAAUAAACUCGGUACUGUUUUCAAUGAAAAGAUUGUUGUUAGCCCUGUGCCUUUUGCUGUAUCAACUAGAGAAAGUUUUUCUACUUUAAAAACUAUUCCCAUUAGAUUCAUGGAACAAGCUUUAGAAAUCUCAACUUCUCAAGGAUCUGCUAGAAAUUCAUUUUCUAACGUUAAACCAUUAUGGAAGUCAAACAGUAUUAGAAUGCCGAAUAAUCAUUCUGCUUGGCAAACCCCUGUAUCUCCAGCUGUGUGGCCGAAAAAUCUUAGACUUGCUCCUAUAGAUACUUCAAGGCUUCCCAGCAGCAAAAAUAGAUCAUUGUCAUUGGCUGAAUCACCAGUUGUGUUACAGCGCAGUGUAAAACCUUUAAGUCCUAUUUCACAUGCAAUAAUGCCCUCUACUGCAAAAAUUAUACGCGAUAAAAAUAAUGAUAUUCUAGAAAUUCAAGAUGCAAAUAAAAUCAUGUACGGAGAGAUGGAGUAAAAGUGAGUACCAAGUGCGCAGGUGUGGAUUUCGGCAUGGGGAUGCUGUGACAAUCUUACUGGAUGGGCUUACCCUCUCAGUUGUACACGAACUUUCGAAUAGAGAAGCUGUUGCGUCAUUUCAAGCGUUUAUAUUUCGCGCCGAUAAAUCACGUCCGUUUACAUUGGACGAAUAUUCCAUGCGUCUUCCGGUCUCGUUUUACAAGUCAAAUAAUAUACAAUAUUUGAUUUGCUUGGGUUCCAUCUUAGUGAUUCCUAACCUUUUGAUUCGAAUCACGUAGUAACGGAUCGGCGGUACGUGAUA